rnacentral:rRNA from 1 species
CGAAGAACCUUACCAGGUCCUGACAUACUCGUGCUAUUCCUAGAGAUAGGAAGUUCCUUCGGGACACGGGAUACAGGUGGUGCAUGGUUGUCGUCAGCUCGUGUCGUGAGAUGUUGGGUUAAGUCCCGCAACGAGCGCAACCCCUAUUGUUAGUUGCCAUCAUUAAGUUGGGCACUCUAACGAGACUGCCGGUGAUAAACCGGAGGAAGGUGGGGAUGACGUCAAAUCAUCAUGCCCCUUAUGACCUGGGCUACACACGUGCUACAAUGGGAAGUACAACGAGUUGCGAAGUCGCGAGGCUAAGCUAAUCUCUUAAAGCUUCUCUCAGUUCGGAUUGUAGGCUGCAACUCGCCUACAUGAAGCCGGAAUCGCUAGUAAUCGCGGAUCAGCACGCCGCGGUGAAUACGUUCCCGGGUCUUGUACAC